GUAAAUUACCAAAAUCUUUAAAGCUAAACUUUACGUGUUUAAACUUUUAGGCAGAAACAUAGGGACUUUUUUCAUUCUUUGCAGUGACUCUAAACAGAGGGCUGAACCUUCAAGCAGAGGAGUCUGAGUCAUCAACUGAUACCUCAACAUCCGAGACCUCAUCUGAUACUGACUCCUCAUCUGUGCUUUCAGAGGAUGUGGUGUUACCCGAUCUGUGGGGCGAUUUGGACCAAUAUUUCCGAGAGGGGCUAUGCCAUCAUCACCGCCACAGGAUUACACAACCGGGCAUGCCUCAGACCGUCAAAACAUUAUACAUUCUCUAGAGGCUGCCCGGUUAACCGGAGGAGAUCCAGGGGAUGCGAUACCGCAUCAAAAUUUUGAAGCACAACCGCCAUUUCACCAGGAGUCUGUCUCAACCGCUAAUCAACCGCUGAUGGCCGCGGAGAGGUCUAGACCUCAACCAGCGGACAGAGAUCCAGAUCCAGAUCCAGAUUCUCAUCGGGUCGCAACAACAGGAGAACCAGCUCCAGUUCUGAGAAUCCACA